CGUGGGUGCUCUCGCAACACUACCUUGUGAACUCGGUCAGGUCCGGAAGGAAGCAGCUGCAGCAAGAGACGUGUGUGUUGGGAUGUCGCUGACAGAG
rnacentral:SRP_RNA from 1 species